rnacentral:rRNA from 1 species
CAAGUGAAGAAGCGCAUACGGUGGAUGCCUUGGCAGUCAGAGGCGAUGAAAGACGUGGUAGCCUGCGAAAAGCUUCGGGGAGUCGGCAAACAGACUGUGAUCCGGAGAUGUCUGAAUGGGGGAACCCAGCCAUCAUAAGAUGGUUAUCUUGUACUGAAUACAUAGGUGCAAGAGGCGAACCAGGGGAACUGAAACAUCUAAGUACCCUGAGGAAAAGAAAUCAACCGAGAUUCCCUUAGUAGUGGCGAGCGAACGGGGACCAGCCCUUAAGUUGUAUUGAGAUUAGCGGAACGUUCUGGAAAGGACGGCCAUAGUGGGUGAUAGCCCUGUACGCGAAAAUCCCUUUGCAAUGAAAUCGAGUAGGACGGGGCACGAGAAACCUUGUCUGAAUAUGGGGGGACCAUCCUCCAAGGCUAAAUACUACUGACUGACCGAUAGUGAACCAGUACCGUGAGGGAAAGGCGAAAAGAACCGCGGAGAGCGGAGUGAAAUAGAUCCUGAAACCGUAUGCGUACAAGCAGUGGGAGCCCACUUUGUUGGGUGACUGCGUACCUUUUGUAUAAUGGGUCAGCGACUUAUUUUCAGUGGCGAGCUUAACCGAAUAGGGGAGGCGUAGCGAAAGCGAGUCUUAAUAGGGCGUCUAGUCGCUGGGAAUAGACCCGAAACCGGGCGAUCUAUCCAUGGGCAGGUUGAAGGUUGGGUAACACUAACUGGAGGACCGAACCGACUACCGUUGAAAAGUUAGCGGAUGACCUGUGGAUCGGAGUGAAAGGCUAAUCAAGCUCGGAGAUAGCUGGUUCUCCUCGAAAGCUAUUUAGGUAGCGCCUCAUGUAUCACUGUAGGGGGUAGAGCACUGUUUCGGCUAGGGGGUCAUCCCGACUUACCAAACCGAUGCAAACUCCGAAUACCUACAAGUGCCGAGCAUGGGAGACACACGGCGGGUGCUAACGUCCGUCGUGAAAAGGGAAACAACCCAGACCGUCAGCUAAGGUCCCAAAGUCAUGGUUAAGUGGGAAACGAUGUGGGAAGGCUUAGACAGCUAGGAGGUUGGCUUAGAAGCAGCCACCCUUUAAAGAAAGCGUAAUAGCUCACUAGUCGAGUCGGCCUGCGCGGAAGAUGUAACGGGGCUCAAACCAUGCACCGAAGCUACGGGUAUCAUCUUUUGAUGAUGCGGUAGAGGAGCGUUCUGUAAGCCUGUGAAGGUGAGUUGAGAAGCUUGCUGGAGGUAUCAGAAGUGCGAAUGCUGACAUGAGUAACGACAAUGGGUGUGAAAAACACCCACGCCGAAAGACCAAGGUUUCCUGCGCAACGUUAAUCGACGCAGGGUUAGUCGGUCCCUAAGGCGAGGCUGAAAAGCGUAGUCGAUGGAAAACAGGUUAAUAUUCCUGUACUUCUGGUUAUUGCGAUGGAGGGACGGAGAAGGCUAGGCCAGCCUGGCGUUGGUAGUCCAGGUUUAAGGUGGUAGGCUGAGAUCUUAGGUAAAUCCGGGAUCUUAAGGCCGAGAGCUGAUGACGAGUGUUCUUUUAGAACACGAAGUGGUUGAUGCCAUGCUUCCAAGAAAAGCUUCUAAGCUUCAGGUAACCAGGAACCGUACCCCAAACCGACACAGGUGGUUGGGUAGAGAAUACCAAGGCGCUUGAGAGAACUCGGGUGAAGGAACUAGGCAAAAUGGCACCGUAACUUCGGGAGAAGGUGCGCCGGUGAGGGUGAAGCAUUUACUGCGUAAGCCCAUGCCGGUCGAAGAUACCAGGCCGCUGCGACUGUUUAUUAAAAACACAGCACUCUGCAAACACGAAAGUGGACGUAUAGGGUGUGACGCCUGCCCGGUGCCGGAAGGUUAAUUGAUGGGGUUAGCGCAAGCGAAGCUCUUGAUCGAAGCCCCGGUAAACGGCGGCCGUAACUAUAACGGUCCUAAGGUAGCGAAAUUCCUUGUCGGGUAAGUUCCGACCUGCACGAAUGGCGUAACGAUGGCGGCGCUGUCUCCACCCGAGACUCAGUGAAAUUGAAAUCGCUGUGAAGAUGCAGUGUAUCCGCGGCUAGACGGAAAGACCCCGUGAACCUUUACUAUAGCUUUGCACUGGACUUUGAAUUUGCUUGUGUAGGAUAGGUGGGAGGCUUUGAAGCGUGGACGCCAGUCUGCGUGGAGCCAACCUUGAAAUACCACCCUGGCAACUUUGAGGUUCUAACUCAGGUCCGUUAUCCGGAUCGAGGACAGUGUAUGGUGGGUAGUUUGACUGGGGCGGUCUCCUCCUAAAGAGUAACGGAGGAGUACGAAGGUGCGCUCAGACCGGUCGGAAAUCGGUCGUAGAGUAUAAAGGCAAAAGCGCGCUUGACUGCGAGACAGACACGUCGAGCAGGUACGAAAGUAGGUCUUAGUGAUCCGGUGGUUCUGUAUGGAAGGGCCAUCGCUCAACGGAUAAAAGGUACUCCGGGGAUAACAGGCUGAUACCGCCCAAGAGUUCAUAUCGACGGCGGUGUUUGGCACCUCGAUGUCGGCUCAUCACAUCCUGGGGCUGAAGCCGGUCCCAAGGGUAUGGCUGUUCGCCAUUUAAAGUGGUACGCGAGCUGGGUUUAGAACGUCGUGAGACAGUUCGGUCCCUAUCUGCCGUGGACGUUUGAGAUUUGAGAGGGGCUGCUCCUAGUACGAGAGGACCGGAGUGGACGAACCUCUGGUGUUCCGGUUGUCACGCCAGUGGCAUUGCCGGGUAGCUAUGUUCGGAAAAGAUAACCGCUGAAAGCAUCUAAGCGGGAAACUUGCCUCAAGAUGAGAUCUCACUGGAACCUUGAGUUCCCUAAAGGGCCGUCGAAGACUACGACGUUGAUAGGUUGGGUGUGUAAGCGCUGUGAGGCGUUGAGCUAACCAAUACUAAUUGCCCGUGAGGCUUGACCA